rnacentral:rRNA from 1 species
GGCGACGAUGCGUAGGGGUUCUGAGAGGAGGGCCCCCCACACUGGAACUGAGACACGGUCCAGACUCCUACGGGAGGCAGCAGUGAGGAAUAUUGGUCAAUGGGCGGAAGCCUGAACCAGCCAAGUCGCGUGAGGGAAUAAGGCCCUACGGGUCGUAAACCUCUUUUGCCGGGGAGCAAGGGCCGGGACGCGUCCCGGCCCGGAGAGUACCCGGAGAAAAAGCAUCGGCUAACUCCGUGCCAGCAGCCGCGGUAAUACGGAGGAUGCGAGCGUUAUCCGGAUUUAUUGGGUUUAAAGGGUGCGUAGGCGGGCUUUUAAGUCAGCGGUAAAAAUUCGGGGCUCAACCCCGUCCGGCCGUUGAAACUGGGGGUCUUGAGUGGGCGAGAAGAAGGCGGAAUGCGUGGUGUAGCGGUGAAAUGCAUAGAUAUCACGCAGAACCCCGAUUGCGAAGGCAGCCUUCCGGCGCCCUACUGACGCUGAGGCACGAAAGUGCGGGGAUCGAACAGGAUUAGAUACCCUGGUAGUCC